rnacentral:lncRNA from 1 species
GGCCCAACACAAUUGAUUAUGUACCCAAGUUAUUUUAGUGGUACAUGCAAACAUUAUCUUCAUUACUCAUACUUGGAUCGUAAUUACAAACUUGUUUACAAAAACUAUAAAGCUAAAAACUGAAUGCAUAUCCGUCAUGAUAUGAAACUAUUUCUAUCUGACAAAUGUAGCUCGAGAUUUAUCCAAUUGAAGUAGUCCGUAGAAUAUUAUUGUCGCGUCUAUUCCUACAACAGUUCAGUCAUAAUUCUACGGAUUCUUCUUGUUUACCAUGGUGCACUUCUUGAACUUGGCACAACCAUCUUUGCUCUAGAUUACAAAGACACCUGCACUGAAAGACGAUGGUAGAACACUUGGGUCAGAUGUAGGUAUAUAUUAUAUGUCUUAUGAAAUUAUAAAAAAUUACUAACAAAGUUACAAACUAUCAGUUGUGACAAAUAACACAAAACAUGGCCCAAGUGACCCUCUAUCUUCAUUUCUUAAAAAUAACCUGAGAUCUAUGGGUCUGAUAAGGGUAUAUUAAGUGCAUAAGAGCCUCAUAUCAUUCAAAAUCAAACGGCUUUGGUCCCCCUCUAAUUUCUAUUAUGUCGAAUUUAAUUCAAUUUUACAUUCUUAGAAGGAUUCAUAGCUAUCGAACGUAAUUCAAAAUAUUACUCCUAGAAGAAUUCACAACCGCAGAUUAUAGAUUCCCGCAAGAAGAGUAUAGAUGUUAGCAUCAUCUACUUUACAUCUCAAUAUAACUACACAUAAUUGUUAUUUUGGGUGACCAAUGGCAAGAUCAUUCACAUCCCCGACAUGAGCAUCAAUAUCUUCAAACAUGAUAUAUGUUAUCUUACAAAUAAAUUUUGUUGAUAUUUAAGCAUGCCAUAACAUUCUAACCCAAAAUCUCAAAUAACUAGAUGUAUUGAGCUUUCCAACAGACCAUUUAUUUUCUUGAUAAGUGAGAGUUUUAUAAAGAUGAUCAAGAUGACAAAGCGAAAGAAAAUUCUUUAACUCACAACACAAAAUCAGGGGACCUAAACCAUACAAAUAUUCAUGAAAUUUGUAGUGCUUCACCAUAAAUUGUACUAUUAUACAUCUAUAACUUCGAGUAACAUAUCAGUUCAGUUAUAAAUCAAUCAUUCAACCUCAUCAUUCUCACAAUGUUAAUUAUUAUAUAGUAUUAAUGCUUAGUAAAUUGUAGAAUUGGUGCCCCAAAUCUUAAAGUUCUUAGACUAUGGCACUUCUGAAAAAGUGACUUUUGUUAAUAUGUAAUUUUCGAAAUACAGAAAAUACUGCUAAUUAUUAUUACUGACAUUGUAUAUAGGGAUUUGAAAGUAAGUGAUUUUUAGCCUAGCUUGCACAUGACAAAUCAAAGAUAUAAAUAAAUCUAAAAUAACUAAGUCAAGAGUACAAGCAUGUUUGUGUUCUUUUCUUUUUUUCUUUCCUAAAAGGUGCUCAUAGUUGAGUAUCAUCUUCAACUUCAGAUAUGUGCUAUUUUAGCAGCAUAUAAGUGAAGCUCACAGAAACUAAAACCGUUAGCCGAUUUUGAUGGUCUAAUGGAUACAACAUCCUGAUUCUUUCAGAAGUUCACAAAGUUCUUAUUCAAAUAAAUAAAGCUACAUUUUUCACAAAGUACAAUCUUCAAGAAAAUGACUUUAUCAAACAAACUAAAUAAAUUACGGCUAAAUAAAAAGCUUUAAACCUAAACCCAAGAUAAAAGGCAUGUAAUUUGAAGUUCCUGUUAAAUGGAAUGUAGCUUAUUGACUGCUGUGUGCAUACUUUGAAGGGAAAUGAACAAGAAAGCCUUGAAGGUCUGAAAAAUAUGUUCAUAUCAGGGUCUUCGAUUUCUAGAGACUUUUGGUACACUUAUAAGGAGUUAUUAGUAUAGGUGUUUGAGAGUUUUUUUAGAGAACCUUUUAUUUCUUGCUUAUCUUUGGUUGUGUAGGAGUGUACAAUUUCUUUAAUUUUUCUAAGACAAUGUUAAUCCUAUCCAAAUAAUGUAUGUUACUAAAGUAAAUAAAAUCAAUAUAAAUUAAAAUUCAAGAAAGUCGGAAUGUCUUCCUAUCACCAUAACCUUAAAGAGCCAAGGGGAUGGGUUUCUUCAUAGUAAAUUGCAAUUCUCCAUCCAUCACGAUUGAAGAAUAGAUUGCAUUCAAUUGUUACCUAAUUCUACAAAUACCAAUAAAAGUAUUUCACUAUAACCAACAAAAGGUAUAAUAUCAUCCACUAAUUUUUUAUUCAACAAUAUGAUGAGAAGUAUAAUACAAACGAAAAUUGUAUUCAGUUCACUAAUUGACAAUAUCCACACAACACUAUUAAAUACUGAACGACACCCAUAUAUUUUACGAGCAGUUAAGAGACUUUGAUUAACAAAUGAUGGGUAGAUGUAGAAGUUAAAAUACAGUGACAACAACACCUGAAACAGCUACAGUACAAGUAGCGUGGUUGUUAUCGCUGAUUGUCAGUACCAGAGUUUGAUGGAGAAUAAGUGGGAAUGCUCUCCAUCAGCGGUUUAUUGGUGAAGAUUCUCAACUUUUUUCACUUGAGAGAGAGUUUUGGAAGAUUUCGCGGACAAUAUCGAGUAACACAACUUCACCUUUUCAUAUGCUUUUAAGCUACACUUAUGGGGGUGUUGGAUACGGAGAAAACAUUUCAAUUUUACUGUUUCAUUCCAAAAUUUAGAUGGGUAAUUGAAUCCAGACUACCAUGUUUGAUAACUCAUCCAUAACCUCUAGCAAUUGAUAUGGGGUGUAUGCUUAUGAAUAAACAAACACAAUUGUGAACUCUUUAGUAGAUCAGCCAGUAAUUAGUAAUAUAUAUUAUUUUCUUCUAAAUAAAUCAACAAUUACAUCAGUCAUGUAGUUCAGUCGUAAAUUUGGAAGAGAGCAUACCUGGAAUUAUGAAGACUUGUGAAUCGAUUUACUGAAGUUGGAACAAAAGGGAUGGAAUAAAGGGUGCUUUUUUGCCGAGUGUUUGUGCUUGGAAAAUGAGUUAGAAAUCUGUUGUUUGGAGUGUGAAAGACGGC